GAUGAACGCUAGCGGCAGGCUUAACACAUGCAAGUCGAGGGGUAUUGGUUUUCGGACCAAGAGACCGGCGCACGGGUGCGUAACGCGUAUGCAAUCUACCUUUCACAGAGGGAUAGCCCAGAGAAAUUUGGAUUAAUACCUCAUAGUAUUAUAGGAUGGCAUCAUUUUAUAAUUAAAGUCACAACGGUGAAAGAUGAGCAUGCGUCCCAUUAGCUUGUUGGUAAGGUAACGGCUUACCAAGGCUACGAUGGGUAGGGGUCCUGAGAGGGAGAUCCCCCACACUGGUACUGAGACACGGACCAGACUCCUACGGGAGGCAGCAGUGAGGAAUAUUGGUCAAUGGACGCAAGUCUGAACCAGCCAUGCCGCGUGCAGGAUGACGGUCCUAUGGACUGUAAACUGCUUUUGCACAGGAAGAAACAACAUUACGUGUAAUGUCUUGACGGUACUGUGAGAAUAAGGAUCGGCUAACUCCGUGCCAGCAGCCGCCGCCG
rnacentral:rRNA from 1 species